CGGGUUGUAAAGCCCUUUAAGAUGGGAAGAAGCAGUGCGGGGUAAUAUACCGCAGUGUUGACGGUACCGUCAGAAUAAGCACCGGCAAAACUCUGUGC
rnacentral:rRNA from 1 species